rnacentral:rRNA from 1 species
GUCUAUGACCAUGCCACCCUGAACAAACCCAAUCUAAUCUAUCUCAGAAGCUAAGCAGGGUCGGGCCUGGUUAGUACUUGGAUGGGAGACCACCUAGGAAGACCGGGUGCUGUAGGCA